UUUAUAUAGCGCCAUCAGAUUCCGUAGUGCUUUACAAUGGGUUAUUAACUUGUCUGGUUACAACUACAUGUCUGUUCGUCCACCCAUUGUAAAGCGCUGCGGAAUUUGAUGGCGCUCUAUAAAUAUCAU